AUGUACAAAGAACUCCACACUCUGCUAGCAGCGUCCAAGGGCAGGAUUCUUGUACAUUUCGUUACCCUGCCUACUCGAAAGAAUGGAGCCGACACAGAGUGUGCUGGUAAUUUUGAUGGGGGAGUUCAGGAGAUGGAGCGCAACGUGAUUCAAGACAAAAGAGUCUCCAUUCUGAUUACUGCUCCAUUGUGUGACAGAGCAAAACAUUUCAAUGUGGUUGAGACUGAAUUUGAGUCAAGAAAAUACAAGUUGCAGUCCCUUUUCUUUGGGAACAUUUUCUUCGUGGUUCAGCAGGACAUGGAGGCUGAUGGUGCAUGA
rnacentral:lncRNA from 1 species